GACAGAGGCCUCAAGCGUUAGGCGGAAUCACUGGGCUUAAAGCGUGUGUAGGCGGAUCGUUAAGUGUCUUGUGAAAUCCCACGGCUCACCCGUGGAACUGCUGGGCAUACUGGCGAUCUUGGGCCAACUAGGGGCAACUGGAACAAGCGGUGGAGCGGUGAAAUGCGUAGAUAUCGCUUGGAACGCCAACGGUGAAAACAGGUUGCUGGGGUUGUGCCGACGCUGGA
rnacentral:rRNA from 1 species